AUGCAGUGUAUGUGUGUAUUAGUGUAUGCAGUGUAUGUGUGUGUUAUUGUAUGCAGUGUGUGUGUUAUUGUAUGCAGUGUGUGUGUUGUGUUAGUGUAUGCAGUGUAUGUGUGUGUUAGUGUAUGCAGUGUAUGUGUUGUGUUAGUGUAUGCAGUGUAUGUGUGUGUUAGUGUAUGCAGUGUAUGGUUGUGUUAGUGUAUGCAGUGUAUGUGUGUGUUAGUGUAUGCAGUGUGUGUUGUGUUAGUGUAUGCAGUGUAUGUGUGUGUUAGUGUAUGCAGUGUGUGUUAUUGUAUGCAGUGUAUGUGUGUGUUAGUGUAUGCAGUGUGUGUGUUGUGUUAGUGUAUGCAGUGUGUGUGUUAUUGUAUGCAGUGUGUGUUGUUAGUGUGUGAUCUGG